rnacentral:rRNA from 1 species
UACGAAGGGGGCUAGCGUUGCUCGGAAUCACUGGGCGUAAAGCGCACGUAGGCGGCUUGUUAAGUCAGGGGUGAAAUCCUGGAGCUCAACUCCAGAACUGCCUUUGAUACUGGCGAGCUUGAGUCCGGGAGAGGUGAGUGGAACUGCGAGUGUAGAGGUGAAAUUCGUAGAUAUUCGCAAGAACACCAGUGGCGAAGGCGGCUUACUGGUCCGGUUCUGACGCUGAGGCGCGAAAGCGUGGGGAGCAAACAGG